AGAGUUUGAUCCUGGCUCAGGAUGAACGCUGGCGGCGUGCUUAACACAUGCAAGUCGAACGAUGAUCCCAGCUUGCUGGGGGAUUAGUGGCGAACGGGUGAGUAACACGUGAGUAACCUGCCCUUAACUCUGGGAUAAGCCUGGGAAACUGGGUCUAAUACCGGAUAUGACUCCUCAUCGCAUGGUGGGGGGUGGAAAGCUUUAUUGUGGUUUUGGAUGGACUCGCGGCCUAUCAGCUUGUUGGUGAGGUAAUGGCUCACCAAGGCGACGACGGGUAGCCGGCCUGAGAGGGUGACCGGCCACACUGGGACUGAGACACGGCCCAGACUCCUACGGGAGGCAGCAGUGGGGAAUAUUGCACAAUGGGCGAAAGCCUGAUGCAGCGACGCCGCGUGAGGGAUGACGGCCUUCGGGUUGUAAACCUCUUUCAGUAGGGAAGAAGCGAAAGUGACGGUACCUGCAGAAGAAGCGCCGGCUAACUACGUGCCAGCAGCCGCGGUAAUACGUAGGGCGCAAGCGUUAUCCGGAAUUAUUGGGCGUAAAGAGCUCGUAGGCGGUUUGUCGCGUCUGCCGUGAAAGUCCGGGGCUCAACUCCGGAUCUGCGGUGGGUACGGGCAGACUAGAGUGAUGUAGGGGAGACUGGAAUUCCUGGUGUAGCGGUGAAAUGCGCAGAUAUCAGGAGGAACACCGAUGGCGAAGGCAGGUCUCUGGGCAUUAACUGACGCUGAGGAGCGAAAGCAUGGGGAGCGAACAGGAUUAGAUACCCCCGUAGUCC
rnacentral:rRNA from 1 species